AGAUGAAAACUUAACAGCCAUGUAAUGCCACCGCUGGGAGGAGCAAUUUUUUUUUUCUUGAGAAAAUGUUGAGUUCCAAAUUCGUGCGAUACUUGAUUUUAUAAUCCAACAAUAACUUGGCAAUUCCCCAAACAUAUAUGGAACGAGAUUUGCAAAGACAAACUACAAUUUUUUUUUUUUUAUGACGAGGCAGUGCUGCCUUUGAAGACAAAUUUAUUUAUUAUCAUUGUUUUAAGAGUAAAGCAAUUAAGUGAUUGUAUCCAAAAGUACAAAUCAUA
rnacentral:lncRNA from 1 species